CGGAACAGCACUUUCAAGUUGGCAUUUUGAAAACAGAAAAGGAAGGGCAGAAAACCUGUCAAAGCAAAACACAGCAUCCAGAACUGAUGAAAUGAUGAAGAUAGAUACACUUCCAUUUUCUUUUCUGAAGCAUGGAGAGUAAAAUAUUACUUCAGUGAACACCCCCAAGAGAAGCGUUUUGUGAGGGCUCCCACUAGGUCACCAAGCUUGUAAGUUUCUGUUUGGAAGCUGCUUAUCUACCAUCUGCAGAGCAGGCUUGGGGGAAAGAGGCCCCAUGCUGUGAAACAAAGCUGCUUAGUGUCUGCAUGGGCACCUACAAGGCAGUUACUGACUGUUCCCUUGAUUAAAAAUACUCAAAGUAUUUUCAUUUAAAGUGAAAAGAGAGAAGCUGAGGAGCAGCAGGUGUAUUUAAGGCUGCAGGACUCUCCAGGCAAUUGCACUCAUUAUCUAGGAACACCUCACUGAUGCCCUGCUUCCUCUCCCAGCACAGUUCUCUGACUGCUUUUUCCCAGGAGCAAUCCAGGAUGUCUUUGCCUGCAGUUGGAUAGCAUCUACCUCACACACAGCAUAAUGUUCAGUUCCCCAAGUGGUUUGGGUUUGGCUGCUCUCUGAAGAUGGCAUCUUACGCUUUUGUCUCCUUGCUAGUAAUUGCAAAAGCAUGGGGGAAGAAAUCUUUAUUCCAAUUGUAAAAUUAAGUUCAAAACGACAGCCGAGUUAGUUAGAACAAAGGCUUCUCUGGUCCAGUUUUUUCCAAGAACAUUGUAAAAGAAUGAGUUUUGGGAUUUUUGUUUGUUUUAUUUUGUUUUUAAUGCCUGUAGUACCAGAGACUAGAUUUGGGACUUGCUUCAGUAACUAAGUUAGCUCUUCACCUGGGUUCAACAUCUUUUCCAAUUAUGCCUCAGCUCAAGCUCUUAGAAAAUGAGACUUCUAAAUCUGCUGGGCUGUUGUAGCAGUUCCAAGAGCUAUCUGCAGCCAAGCACCUUAGAGGCUACCUGUUAGCUUAGAGAUCAUGCAUAUUCCAAUGUUCUCUGGAGUUUGGAAGAUUUCUGUAGUAUCUAGAAGCUUCCAGAGCCAGAGAACUCACUUUGUUCUCAGAGGCAGUAUGUGUCAUUGUCAGACAAAAAGCAAUUGAUUUGUGUGUAGCAAGCCCACUGUGGGUUCAUGUCUCAGGAGCUUUCUAAUUAUAGUAUAUGUUUCCUUCCCAACCACUAUUUUAUCAUGAACUGAGCUCUCCUUUCUUGUCGAUUUUCUCCCAACCUUUGUCUUCCUUUGAACCCUGCCAUCCUUCAUUACUGAGGAAAGGAAGAUUGUAGUGGUGUGUGACUACAGACUCAACUCUGAAGCUCUGAGGCUUUCAUCUAGCGGAACUAUAUUGAGAAGCUGACAUGAUGAGUCCACAAAACAGGGAAAGUUCCCUGGACUGAGAACAUGGGCAUAGUGUGAGCUCAGCCGAGCAGAAUGAAAAUCUUCUUGGACUGUGCAACAUGUUUCACCUCAAUUAAGCUACAGGAACAUAAUUUCUUCUAGAGAUUUGGGCAUUUCCAUUUAGACUGACUUUAGAGCCUCCAGGAUCCACCUGUCUUCAACUUCCUAGGACUGGAAUUGUGAACGUAUCCUAACAUGCCAACUCUUCCCAUGAGUGCUGGGAAUCAAAUUCAAUUCGUCAUGCUCGGAAGACAAACACUUUACUGACUGAAGCAAGAGGCAAACAAAAAUUAAUAAAAAUACAAAACACAAGCGGUUUGGGAUGAACAAGGGGAUCCACGACUGAAGCAGGGGCAUGUGGAGCUGAAGGGUGAAAGUAAGUGCAGCAUCAAGAGCACCCUUUAGCACCAGCUAAGCCUGGAGCUUCUAUUUGAGAACUAGUUUGAUUUGUCCAUGUUCGAUGGCAUGGAUCAUCAAAAUUUAAUCUAUUGCUUCACUGAAUGUUUUUCUUGAUGACAAAAUAUGUCAAGUCUUCUUUAUUAUAUGCUGCCUACAUUUUAAUUCAUUUAAAAUAUGUAUAUAUUUAGAAAUCUUCUACAGUGGUAGGUUUCUAUGUGGCUGUUUCAAGCCUUUAGUGUUAGUUGUCCAUCUCUAUGUCCCCUUUCCCCCUACUCUUUCAUCCCUCUUCCCAGUUAAUCCUGCUAUCCCAGUUUCCUGUUGUCUCUUCACAGCACUGUUAUAUUUCCCUAAUAUGUCUCAGUAGCAUUGAUCUUAUUGGCCUGAAUCUUCUCUUCUCCACAUGCUGAGCUAAGAUAUGUACAAACAAAAGGAAGUGGUAAGGUUUUGAGUGAGUUCCUCUGUAUUCCUGGCUUCGUCCUCUUCUUCUUCCUCCUCCCUCUCCUCCUCUCCUCUUUCUUCUCUUUCUUCAAAUUCUUUCUUCUUCCAGGGUUCCUCUAAAGAUAUAUCAAGUACUUCCAAUGUUCUCUAACCUAAAAAACGAUGUCAUUCUUUGUUGUAUAGUAUGCUUUAAAAGAACUACCUAUAAGCAUAUCUCCCACCACCCUGUGUUUUAGUUCUAUAAGAAGAUCCUUCCCAUGGGCAAGCACCAAUCCCUGACAUUAUUGAUGAAACUCUGUUAUGCUUGCAGAGAGGAGCCUCGCAUGGCCUUCCUUUGAGAGGCUCCAUCUAAGAACUGACUCAGAGAGAUGAAAGCAUUGGAUGGAGUUUGGGGACUCUUAAUGGAAGAAUUGGAGGAAGGAUUGAGUAAUGGAAUAGGAACUCCAUAGGAAGAUCAACAGAGUCAACUAACCUGGAAUUGUUGGAGGAUCUCAGAAACUGAACCACCAACCAAACAACAUACAUGGGCCCGACCUAGAUCUGCAGAUGUGCAACUUGGUCUUCAUGUGGGUUCUGAACAAUAGGAGCAAUGGUUCUCCCUAAAGCUGUUGCCAGUCUGUGGAAUUCCAGAGUAUGUUUUAUCUAAGGAUGAAUUUAUUCAUUAAUUGAAAAAAUGCUUCUUCCUAGCCACUGCACUAACAAGGCUUUCUUGCUGCCUGUGGGUUCUCUGCCUUGGAUGGGGAAUUUUCAUCUGCCAUGUAACAUUACAAGCCUCACUGAGCCUCACUGUCACUGCUCUGUUAAACAAAGGCUCUUUGUCUUUGACUCCCCUCACCAUUCAUACCAGUCUCCCCCCUCCCACAGCCUGUCAUCCUUUACUGUUUCCAACAUACACAAUAAACUUUGAUUUAUCUAACACACACACACACACACACACACAUACACACACACACAUACACACACACAAACUUAUUUGUGUGCUGGAAGUGUAUGUCAGUGGUUAAACAUGCACAUGACUAUAAUGUACACAGUACCCUGAGCUCCAUCCCCCAACACCACAGAAAAUUUUGUAUUCUGUUUCAAUUUUAUAGUCAUACAUCAUUCGCAUUUCACCAGAAAAGGAUUCUAAGAAGUUAAUGACUAUAAUGUAUGUACAACUGAAUAAUAGUAACACAAAACACAUUGCCUAUUGUACAUACUCAGUGUUUGCUUAGUGAAUGGAUAGAUUCACUAAUUAAUAUGCAUCUGCAUAUUAAUUGCAUGCCAGGAGAAAGUUAAGAAUUCCAUGUGUUUUGUUUUGUUUUGUAUUUUUAAUUUUGUCAUCAUAACAAUUUUAUGGGCAUGAAUCAUUAGUCUCAUUUUAUAGAUAAGGAAACAACCUAAAAUAUUGUGAUAGUCUAUCCAGAACACCGUUAACAAACAAUAUUGUGAUUUGAUGUUUUAUUAGCCAGUCAUACUAAUGACAUUUAUAAUCCAGUUAUCUAGUAUUUAUUGAAUCAAUGCUAUCAUACAUUGCUCUUUCACACAGCUGGAAGGCGAUGGUUUCUUGUGUUCAUUAGGUGUGCUCUUUAACAUGUCCUAUGAAUAUGACAGUCUGAAUGGCGAUAAUAAGAGUUUGUCUUCUCAGUUCUUUACUUAUCUCCCUCCCUAGCCAACUGAGGAAGUAAACAUACAGAAAAGCUUCUCCUUUUCUGGAAACAGUCUGAACAAAAUAAAAAUCUCCUUAUAUCUCA
rnacentral:sRNA from 1 species